GGGGGCGUUUUAGACUCGCUCGGGGAAUGCUGUGGCAAGAGUUGCGCGUCGAGAUUCCACCUGGUCUCGUAAAACGGUGGACAAAAAUAGUUAACAACGAUAACUACGCUCUAGCUGCUUAAUUGCAGCUAGCAUCCUCCCUUCAUAGCCUACGAUGAAGGAUCAGGGUGUCAAUUUAGUAGGACUGCUCUAAUGACAAUUCUCGGAGUCAUUAGCUAAGAUUAUCGAGAUAGCCUCGGAAGGAUCCCGCCUUCUGGAGACGAAGAGGCGAAUUUUAAAGAGAAGGCUACACGCGUAGAAGCUUUUGUGGCGGCUCUUCGAUACAGGGGUGCAAGUCCCCUCGCCUCCACCA
rnacentral:tmRNA from 1 species